rnacentral:rRNA from 1 species
UGGGGAAUAUUGGACAAUGGGGGAAACCCUGAUCCAGCAAUGCCGCGUGAGUGAAGAAGGCCUUAGGGUUGUAAAGCUCUUUCGCCCGCGAAGAUAAUGACGGUAGCGGGAGAAGAAGCCCCGGCUAACUCCGUGCCAGCAGCCGCGGUAAUACGGAGGGGGCUAGCGUUGUUCGGAAUUACUGGGCGUAAAGCGUACGUAGGCGGAUGCGCAAGUUGGGGGUGAAAUCCCGGGGCUUAACCUCGGAAUUGCCCUCAAAACUGCACGUCUUGAGACCGAGAGAGGUAAGGGGAAUUCCUAGUGUAGAGGUGAAAUUCGUAGAUAUUAGGAAGAACACCAGUGGCGAAGGCGCCUUACUGGCUCGGUACUGACGCUUAGGUACGAAAGCGUGGGGAGCAAACA